rnacentral:rRNA from 1 species
GGGUUGUGAGGUUAAGCGACUAAGCGUACACGGUGGAUGCCCUGGCAGUCAGAGGCGAUGAAGGGCGUGCUAAUCUGCGAUAAGCGCCGGUAAGGUGAUAUGAACCGUUAUAACCGGCGAUACCCGAAUGGGGAAACCCAGUGUGACUCGUCACACUAUCAUUAACUGAAUCCAUAGGUUAAUGAGGCGAACCGGGGGAACUGAAACAUCUAAGUACCCCGAGGAAAAGAAAUCAACCGAGAUUCCCCCAGUAGCGGCGAGCGAACGGGGAGGAGCCCAGAGCCUGAAUCAGCAUGUGUGUUAGUGGAAGCGUCUGGAAAGGCGCGCGAUACAGGGUGACAGCCCCGUACACAAAAGCGCAUGUGCUGUGAGCUCGAUGAGUAGGGCGGGACACGUGGUAUCCUGUCUGAAUAUGGGGGGACCAUCCUCCAAGGCUAAAUACUCCUGACUGACCGAUAGUGAACCAGUACCGUGAGGGAAAGGCGAAAAGAACCCCGGGAGGGGAGUGAAAAAGAACCUGAAACCGUGUACGUACAAGCAGUGGGAGCCCCACCACCAAAGCAUUCUCUGGUGUUGAAGGCCCUGCAAAGCAGCAUCGCGGUGGCGGAGCGUCGUUUGCGACGCCCAACACACAAAACAAGCGGUGAAUGCUUUGGGGUGGGGUGACUGCGUACCUUUUGUAUAAUGGGUCAGCGACUUAUAUUCUGUAGCAAGGUUAACCGAAUAGGGGAGCCGGAGGGAAACCGAGUCUUAAUUGGGCGUUAAGUUGCAGGGUAUAGACCCGAAACCCGGUGAUCUAGCCAUGGGCAGGUUGAAGGUUGGGUAACACUAACUGGAGGACCGAACCGACUAAUGUUGAAAAAUUAGCGGAUGACCUGUGGCUGGGGGUGAAAGGCCAAUCAAACCGGGAGAUAGCUGGUUCUCCCCGAAAGCUAUUUAGGUAGCGCCUCGUGAAUUCAUCUCCGGGGGUAGAGCACUGUUUCGGCUAGGGGGCCAUCCCGGCUUACCAACCCGAUGCAAACUGCGAAUACCGGAGAAUGUUAUCACGGGAGACACACGGCGGGUGCUAACGUCCGUCGUGAAGAGGGAAACAACCCAGACCGCCAGCUAAGGUCCCAAAGUCAUGGUUAAGUGGGAAACGAUGUGGGAAGGCCCAGACAGCCAGGAUGUUGGCUUAGAAGCAGCCAUCAUUUAAAGAAAGCGUAAUAGCUCACUGGUCGAGUCGGCCUGCGCGGAAGAUGUAACGGGGCUAAACCAUGCACCGAAGCUGCGGCAGCGAACGUAUCACCCAAGACAACUUUACGGAGUUGACGAUUGACGGAGCGAAGCGACGUCAAAGCGUUCAUUAAAGUCGAGUUGGCUUAGGGAUACGUUCGUUGGGUAGGGGAGCGUUCUGUAAGCCUGUGAAGGUGUGUCGUGAGGCAUGCUGGAGGUAUCAGAAGUGCGAAUGCUGACAUAAGUAACGAUAAAGCGGGUGAAAAGCCCGCUCGCCGGAAGACCAAGGGUUCCUGUCCAACGUUAAUCGGGGCAGGGUGAGUCGACCCCUAAGGCGAGGCCGAAAGGCGUAGUCGAUGGGAAACGGGUUAAUAUUCCCGUACUUGGUGUUACUGCGAAGGGGGGACGGAGAAGGCUAUGUUGGCCGGGCGACGGUUGUCCCGGUUUAAGCGUGUAGGUGUGUGUUCCAGGUAAAUCCGGUUCACUUUAACACUGAGGCGUGACGACGAGGCACUACGGUGCUGAAGCAACAAAUGCCCUGCUUCCAGGAAAAGCCUCUAAGCAUCAGGUAACACGAAAUCGUACCCCAAACCGACACAGGUGGUCAGGUAGAGAAUACCAAGGCGCUUGAGAGAACUCGGGUGAAGGAACUAGGCAAAAUGGUGCCGUAACUUCGGGAGAAGGCACGCUGACACGUAGGUGAAGUGAUUUACUCAUGGAGCUGAAGUCAGUCGAAGAUACCAGCUGGCUGCAACUGUUUAUUAAAAACACAGCACUGUGCAAACACGAAAGUGGACGUAUACGGUGUGACGCCUGCCCGGUGCCGGAAGGUUAAUUGAUGGGGUCAGCG